rnacentral:rRNA from 1 species
ACUCAAAUGAAUAGACGGGGGCUCACACAAGCGGUGGAGCAUGUGGCUUAAUUCGAAGCAACGCGAAGAACCUUAUCCUGGGCUUGACAUGCACGGAUUAGCUCCUGGAAACAGGAGUGACGCGGCUUGCCGUGGAACGUGCACAGGUGCUGCAUGGCUGUCGUCAGCUCGUGCUGUGAAGUGUCGGGUUAAGUCCCUUAACGAGCGCAACCCUUGUCGCUAGUUGCCAGCGGUUCGGCCGGGGACUCUAGCGAGACUGCCGGUGUCAAACCGGAGGAAGGUGGGGACGACGUCAAGUCCGCAUGGCCUUUAUGCCCAGGGCUGCACACGUGCUACAAUGGCCGGUACAGAACGACGCAAUACCGCGAGGUGGAGCAAAUCGCAAAAGCCGGCCCCAGUUCGGAUUGCAGGCUGCAACUCGUCUGCAUGAAGUUGGAAUCGCUAGUAAUCGCGGAUCAGCUACGCCGCGGUGAAUACGUUCCUGAGCCUUGUACACACCGCCCGU